rnacentral:rRNA from 1 species
GGAGGCAGCAGUGGGGAAUAUUGACAAUGGGCGCAAGCUUGAUCCAGCGACGCGCGUGAGGGAUGACGGCUUCGGGUUGUAAACCUCUUUCAGCAGGGAAGAAGCGAAAGUGACGGUACCUGCAGAAGAAGCGCCGGCUAACUACGUGCCAGCAGCCGCGGUAAUACGUAGGGCGCAAGCGUUGUCCGGAAUUAUUGGGCGUAAAGAGCUCGUAGGCGGUCUGUCGCGUCGGAUGUGAAAGCCCGGGGCUUAACCCCGGGUCUGCAUUCGAUACGGGCAGACUAGAGUGUGGUAGGGGAGAUCGGAAUUCCUGGUGUAGCGGUGAAAUGCGCAGAUAUCAGGAGGAACACCGGUGGCGAAGGCGGAUCUCUGGGCCAUUACUGACGCUGAGGAGCGAAAGCGUGGGGAGCGAACAGGAUUAGAUACCCUGGUAGUCCACGCCGUAAACGGUGGGAACUAGGUGUUGGCGACAUUCCACGUCGUCGGUGCCGCAGCUAACGCAUUAAGUUCCCCGCCUGGGGAGUACGGCCGCAAGGCUAAAACUCAAAGGAAUUGACGGGGGCCCGCACAAGCAGCGGAGCAUGUGGUUUAAUUCGACGCAACGCGAAGAACCUUACCUGGGCUUGACAUGUUAGUGACAGGUGUGGAAACACACCCUCCCUUCGGGGCACUUUCACAGGUGGUGCAUGGCUGUCGUCAGCUCGUGUCGUGAGAUGUUGGGUUAAGUCCCGCAACGAGCGCAACCCCCGUCGCAUGUUGCCAGCAUUGUUGGGGACUCAUGCGAGACUGCCGGUGACAAACCGGAGGAAGGUGGGGAUGACGUCAAGUCAUCAUGCCCCUUAUGUCCAGGGCUACACACGUGCUACAUUGGCGCAUACAAAGGGCUGCGAUACCGCGAGGUGGAGCGAAUCCCAAAAAGUGCGUCUCGGUUCGGAUUGGAGGCUGAAACUCGCCUCCAUGAAGGUGAGUUGCUAGUAAUCCCGGAUCAGCAACGCCGCGGUGAAUACGUUCCCGGG